rnacentral:rRNA from 1 species
GACGAACCGUGCGAACGUUGUUCGGAAUCACUGGGCUUAAAGGGCGCGUAGGCGGGCUGUCAAGUCUGGGGUGAAAUCCCACGGCUCAACUGUGGAACUGCCUCGGAUACUGACGGCCUCGAGGGGGGUAGGGGCGUGCGGAACUGUGGGUGGAGCGGUGAAAUGCGUUGAUAUCCACAGGAACUCCGGUGGCGAAGGCGGCACGCUGGACCUUCACUGACGCUGAGGCGCGAAAGCCAGGGGAGCAAACGGG